rnacentral:rRNA from 1 species
UAGCUAGUUGGUGAGGUAAAGGCUUACCAAGGCGACGAUCUGUAGCGGGUCUGAGAGGAUGAUCCGCCACACUGGAACUGAGACACGGUCCAGACUCCUACGGGAGGCAGCAGUGGGGAAUUUUGGACAAUGGGGGCAACCCUGAUCCAGCCAUGCCGCGUGAGUGAAGAAGGCCUUCGGGUUGUAAAGCUCUUUCGGCCGGGAAGAAAUCGCAUGGGCCAAUACCCUGUGUGGAUGACGGUACCGGAAUAAGAAGCACCGGCUAACUACGUGCCAGCAGCCGCGGUAAUACGUAGGGUGCGAGCGUUAAUCGGAAUUACUGGGCGUAAAGCGUGCGCAGGCGGUUUUGUAAGACAGGCGUGAAAUCCCCGGGCUUAACCUGGGAACUGCGUUUGUGACUGCAAGGCUAGAGUACGGCAGAGGGGGGUGGAAUUCCACGUGUAGCAGUGAAAUGCGUAGAGAUGUGGAGGAACACCAAUGGCGAAGGCAGCCCCCUGGGUCGAUACUGACGCCCAUGCACGAAAGCGUGGGUAGCAAACAGGAUUAGAUACCCUGGUAGUCCACGCCCUAAACUAUGUCAACUAGGUGUUGGGUGGGUAAAACCAUUUAGUACCGUAGCUAACGCGUGAAGUUGACCGCCUGGGGAGUACGGCCGCAAGGUUAAAACUCAAAGGAAUUGACGGGGACCCGCACAAGCGGUGGAUGAUGUGGAUUAAUUCGAUGAACGCGAAAAACCUUACCUACCCUUGACAUGCCAGGAACUUGCCAGAGAUGGCUUGGUGCCCGAAAGGGAGCCUGACACAGGUGCUGCAUGGCUGUCGUCAGCUCGUGUCGUGAGAUGUUGGGUUAAGUCCCGCAACGAGCGCAACCCUUGUCGUUAAUUGCCAUCAUUUAGUUGGGCACUUUAACGAGACUGUCGGUGACAAACCGGAGGAAGGUGGGGAUGACGUCAAGUCCUCAUGGCCCUUAUGGGUAGGGCUUCACACGUCAUACAAUGGUCGGUACAAAGGGUUGCCAAGCCGCGAGGCGGAGCCAAUCCCAGAAAGCCGAUCGUAGUCCGGAUUGCAGGCUGCAACUCGCCUGCAUGAAGUCGGAAUCGCUAGUAAUCGUGGAUCAGCAUGUCACGGUGAAUACGUUCCCGGGUCUUGUACACACCGCCCGUCACACCAUGGGAGCGGGUUCCGCCAGAAGUAGGUAGCCUAACCGCAAGGGGGGCGCUUACC